UCAGAGUCUAGUACUGGAGACAGGUGAAC
rnacentral:piRNA from 1 species